rnacentral:lncRNA from 1 species
GUCCCACUGUGCCAAGAGGACGCUGAAGGGGAUGAACAUCAUGGGCUCCGCGUCACUCUCUGUGUCGUCCUUGUCCUUUCCUGCGGGCGCAAACUGCUCAGGCAGGUGCCCUAUCGCCUGGUCCGUCUCCGGCUGCGAGGUCGCAGAUCCGCCGCGCGUCUCCCUCUCUUCCGAUUCACCAGCCGAAGUUUGCGUCUCUCCUCUCUCUUCGCCUCCCACGUGACCGCCAGCCUGCGCCUGGUCUCCCCUGGCGUCGUCGCCUCGCGCUCGGACCCCCUCUUCGUUGGCGCCUCCGUCCUCGCCCCGUCUCUCUCUUUCCGCUUCGUCUCUCUCUGCGUCUGUCUCUCUCUUUGUCACGAUGCCGUCGGUCCCCGUGUGUCCCUCUUCCCGCGAAGAAGAGACAGGGGCUGACUGCGCAGCGGCGCUCUCAAGCGGUUCCUCGCUGUCUCCCACCGCACGGAUCCCCGCCUGCCCCGCGUCUUUCCGCGGCGAUCCUGCGGAAUUGAAGACGAGCGUCUCUUCGACAAACAUCCACUGAUACAGGUGAAACUCUGGCAGAUCCAGCAGCGCAGCGACGUCGACGACCUUGAGAGCCGCGAGAAGCAGAGACAGCGAAGGGUUCGCGCCCGAGCACGUGUGGGCCGAGGGCGGAACUUGCGCCGCGUGGGGCAUCAGCGCCGAGGACGGGAACGCAGGCAGUGCAGACGGGAACGGCGAGGAGGCGGAAGACGGCGGAGACAGAACGACCGAGGCCGAUGUCGCGGAAGAGAACACUUUGAUAAGUUCGGUCAAGAGAAUCGGCCACACCGGAGUCAGCGCCGAAGACGAGAGGCGGAGAAGAAGCACUCGGACGCAGAGGAAAACCUACAGGGAAAUGGGGCAGAACGCAGACCGACGUGACGCAGGACCACGAGCCGAAAACGUGCGCACGAACGCGAGGCCUCAGUGCCCCAAGAUACCGGAAACCUGAGCAAGGCUCAAACGCGUGGUGCGAGAAGCCUGUUUCCGGCGCAACCUAACACACAAAGACUUGUCGCGGAGUGACAGGCUUGUGAGACAGCCAAAAAGACAACCUGUGUUCUCGACGAAAACGCCUCCCGCAGUGACGGCACGAGACUCGGACGCGAACCGCCCCCCCAAACCCGGCGAUCGGUGUGGAACGGCGACGCCGGCAAGGCGCGCAAACAGUGUUUCAAAUCGCGAAAGCGUCUCGGAACCCCACCCAGAGCCACGACUGGACUCGUGAGCUCGGAACGACAGGAAACGAGAGAAUGCGAAGAACGCACGGGACCCGGACAAGAAGCGAAAAAACGAUCAGCAUGUGUCCUCAGAAGAACGGCCCAGGCUCCGGGGGCGGCGCCCCUGAAACUGCGGAGUGGAGGACGAGAGAAAUACUACACGGCGACAGGACAUGCGGCUGGUCGGAAUCCCAUCGGACCUAGGACACUAAAUAGGACUCCAGUCUUGCGAGAUAAAGACGCGUUUUCUUCAUGAUUGCUGUACACCACCGCACUGGGCUGCUGCAACAGAUAGUGGAGUUCCAAAUCCUACGACAGGAAGGAUUUCCCACAACACGCUCUAGGCGCGACUUUUAAUGCUGUUCACCUGCUCGGUGAGGCACGGAGCCUGGUUGCUGGCGUUGAGUUUCAGAGCCUCAGUCAGCUUCUCGAGAAUGAACGGCAACUGCGGCUGAAAGAUGUCUUUGCCGCUGCAGAGAAGAAGAAACGCGAGACGCCGAAGAUACCGCAUGCGCUGGGACACGUCGUUCUCCUUCGAGGAAAACACCUGCAAAGACGGGGAAAAGGAAGGUGGGAGCAACAAAAUAGGCAACACAGGAAGACAGGGGAAUCCAUAAGACGAGACGGGGAGACACCCCCUUUGGAGAAGGGGGCCGUGUUUCGUGACAGUGUUUCUUCCCGGCCGAUCCAUCUCGUCGGGUCUGCUUACGCCUGCGUGUGGCGCCGGAAGAAGCAUGUCGAUCUUCUGGGGCUCGCCGCUCAUCAUCACUCUUGCGCCGAUUUUCGCCCAGCCCCUCAAGGUACGUCUGUCCAUCGCGAAGAACGAGGCGAGCGGCAGGUUCUCCAGAAGCGCCUUCUUCAUCAUCGAAAUCCCCGACGGAAAGAGCCGUGUGGGGAAGUAGCGCAGGACGCACAGAAUCAGGUACCGGUACGAGAAGGCCUGACAAACGCACACACGUACACACACACAUCGCACGAGAUGUCAAAACAGCUUCUCACUCCCGAUCCGGUCCUUCCUCUCUUCUUGCUGCCUUGUGCGUCUGUGUGUGUCAUCAAUUCCUCCGCAAUCGAAUCGCGCCGUCUCUUCUCACUUGAGGCGAUUGGUUGUGGAGUGCUGGAAGGACGUAGGCGGGGAAGUCGUCGCACAGGACUUGGAGAAAAAGAGCGGUCAGAGGACUUCUCCGAUUGAUCUCGCCGAUCUGAAAACAGAACAAAUUGAUGCCAAGAGCGCCCAUACGAGCCGCCGACGCUAACACGGAGCCCGCGAGGACGGUUAUGCGCUUUCCUGUCUCAUUGUCGCUGGUGCCUCGGGGCGUUUGGAGGGCAUUUGCAGUCCCUUGGUUAGACGUGUCGGGCACCACGCGCCUCCAAAAAGCUUGAAAGGACGCCAAAAAAAAUAAAACAGUCGCUGUCUGUCGCUGCCCCAUAAAAUCGUCCCGCCUGUCUCUAGGGCCCCUUGGUCUCUCGCUUGCCGAGAUCCCCUGUCUCCUACGGCGUUCCCACCUGUGGCAAACGUCCGUCUCUUCUUUUCACCUUCUUUUUCGCUUCGUUUUCGUGGCUUCUCUUCGUACCUCUACGCAGAACAUAACGAUGACGGCGAGAGCGUAGUGCGCGGCGAUUUCGACUGCGUCUGUGGGGACGAGGGCGGAGACGAGUUGUUUCUCAAUGAGAACUUUGUUGAUGGUCAUGAGGCAGGGUGGGGAGGCGAGCGAGGGCCGGGCGCGUAGGCUCUUCCUUUGCUCGCGCUUGAGGCGGUCCACUUCCCAGUCGUCGCCUUCUUUCUCUGCGCGUUCGCUGCAACUGCCUGUCGCCGAGAACCGCGAAGACGACACAGAAAGAGACGUUGUGAGGGAAAUCGCCUGGUUCACGAGAUCGGCUUGCGGCGGGAGCGGGGCGAGAACGUCGAAUGCGCUUCCACUCGCCGCCGAAGCCACGCGGGAACCGAACUGGCGUACCGCGACGAAGACGCACAUUCGAAAGAGUUCCUGCAGCUCUUUCCUCGUUUUCUUCGACGCAAUCGUCGCUUCCUUCGCCGCCUUCACGCGGUCGAAAGCCAGCAGAAGCGAGACAAGCCACAGAACUGAGACCGGCUGUCGCGGGUGCGCGACGAAGACCGAGACCAGCUGGAGGAGUUGCUGCCAGGCGACUUCUGCGUCGUCCUGAGGCGGCGAAGGAAAGUCGAGCCUCGAGUCGAAGAGAGGCAGAGACGCGGCGUUGCUCGCGAUGCCACUCGCAAAGGUCGAAGGCGCGACCGGGACUGAGACGCCGCAACUCUCGUCGCCCCGCCCGGCAGACGCGGCCAGGGGUCCAGCGCCCGCCUGCGCGGGGCCGAGCGAGCGGCGCUUCCGGGGUGUAUGUACAGCCGAGUUCACCCCCGAGUGGGUCUUCAGGCCGAGGAGCUUCGCAGCCGCGAAGGCGUCGGGCGUCGACACCAGACUGGUCUUUGCUUCGCCUGUGGAGAAGGACGGGAUCGUGGUGAUACACCGCUGGAGAUACGGCGGCGGGUGCCUGGCGACUACGAGCGUGUAGAGGAAGUGGAGGAAGAUGGCCUCGCGCUGCCGAAUCAAACGCACGUUCGCGAAGGGCGGGGCGAGGAAGGAAGAGGCGAAGGAAGACGCGAACGACGAGGACGAGAAGGCAGGCGACACGUACAGCAGCCGAGGACCGCUGGGCGCCUCCGCUCUGUCCCCCGAAGAUGCCGACGCGGAAGGCGUCCCCGAAGAGGAGACAGGAGACGCCAGCGCGUGGACGGAGGGGAGCGUCGACGAGGCGCCAGGAGAAGCGCCGCGCAGCCACUCCUUGAAGACAGUUGUCAGAGGAGGAAGCAACGCGCUGAGAGAGACAGCAACACAGGACCAGAAAGGGGAGAGGAACUAAAGCGGAGGGAGAGGAAACUCCUGAGCAGACCACGGCGCGCGCGCGAACACAGGCGCGUGUGCGGCGAGUGACAAAAAAGAAAAACGGGACGAGGAAAAAGAACGAGCAAGGAGGCGGAGCCGGAGGGCGAGGCACGGAUAAGAGGGAGAGAAGAAGCGUUUGCAGGAGCGGCCUCCAGAAAAAAAAGAAAGAGUUAGAGGAGAGGAGAAAAGGGAAUCUGGAAAGCGCAGAGGGAUCCGGAACACACACGAGCGGUGCACAGGAGAUAGCGAGACGAUUCAUGGAGAGCCGGAGCGGAAGGAAAGGCUUUCGAAAAAGAGGAAAGACGCCACAGAAAGACACAAAGAGAGUCGAAGGCAAAACAGACAAGCGUGGCCGCAGUCCUCUGCUUUCCGCAGGGGGCGACACCGCCUGCAAAGAUUUCCAUAUGUUGACUUCCUCACGUGAGAAACGUGGUAGAGCAUUGCUUGAGAAUGAAGAGGAGAGCUGUCAGCUUGUCCCCCUCCUCGUUAAGGCCCAAAGCCCACACGACCAGGCAACUCUGGACGAAAUGCCGCGGAAACCUGCAAAAAACAAAAUGCAAUCGCACAGCUGAAAACACAAUCGCACAAACCUACACAUACGCAGACACGCAAAACAUAUAUAUAUAUAUAUAUAUAUAUAUAUGUUUUUCUAGCUAUCUAUCCAUCUAAUAUGUUUGUAUUGCACGUUUCGGGUGUAUCAUGAAGAUGUGGCAAGGCGCGUCGCCGCACACGUCUCUCUGGUUUUGUGGAAACGUGGCGUGGGGUCUCCCUGGGUCUCCUUACGCUUUGAAUAGGGUGUCUACGAUGGCUGUGACGCGCAUUCGCACAGCCUCUUCGUUUCGUCGGGCGUCGAGAUCCACGGCCUGUGCCUUUGAGUCGCGUCUCUCGACGCGUCCCUCGCCGCGUCCUUUCCUCUCGUUUUCGCGUCUUUGUCUCUCGCUUUCGCGCUUUCCCUCGUCGGCCAAGAUCUCUCGCGCCCUCAUCCUGCUCCGGUCUCUCCAGGACGCGUGGGGGGACCGUGGAAGCGUUGCCGACACCGCGACGACUGAAGCCACGACGAUCGUCGGGAGUAGCAACGUCACGUGCGCCAGCUUCGCUUCCACUUGCCGAGACGCGCUGUCUCCAGAAACCGCCGACGAACCCCACGCAAACAAAUCAAAAAAAGGCAACAGCGCCCCUAACGCAAGCAACACACCACAGCCAUACACAUGUAUAUUGC